CGAGGGGCAGCGGGGGUGCAGGCUUGCCUGCACCUGCCGGCGACCGGCGCACGGGUGAGUAACACGUAUGGAACCUGCCCGCCACAGGGGGAUAACCCGGGGAAACCCGGCCCAAUACCCCAUGCCGCCCGGACCGGGCAUCCGGACCGGGCGAAAGGAGGAAUCCGGUGGCGGCUGGGCAUGCGGCGCAUUAGCUUGACGGCGGGGUAACGGCCCACCGUGGCGACGAUGCGUAGGGGUUCUGAGAGGAAGGCCCCCCACACUGGAACUGAGACACGGUCCAGACUCCUACGGGAGGCAGCAGUGAGGAAUAUUGGUCAAUGGGCGGAAGCCUGAACCAGCCAAGUCGCGUGAGGGAAUAAGGCCCUACGGGUCGUAAACCUCUUUUGCCGGGGAGCAAGGGCCGGGACGAGUCCCGGCCCGGAGAGUACCCGGAGAAAAAGCAUCGGCUAACUCCGUGCCAGCAGCCGCGGUAAUACGGAGGAUGCGAGCGUUAUCCGGAUUUAUUGGGUUUAAAGGGUGCGUAGGCGGGCUUUUAAGUCAGCGGUAAAAAUUCGGGGCUCAACCCCGUCCGGCCGUUGAAACUGGGGGCCUUGAGUGGGCGAGAAGAAGGCGGAAUGCGUGGUGUAGCGGUGAAAUGCAUAGAUAUCACGCAGAACCCCGAUUGCGAAGGCAGCCUUCCGGCGCCCUACUGACGCUGAGGCACGAAAGUGCGGGGAUCGAACAGGAUUAGAUACCCUGGUAGUCCGCAAAGUAAACGAUGGAUGCCAGCUGUCC
rnacentral:rRNA from 1 species